UACUUAGUGGCAGACGGGUGAGUAACAUGUAGGUAUCUGCCCUUUGGCCUGGAAUAACACGAGGAAACUUGUGCUAAUACCGGAUAAGUCUUUACGGAGAAAGCUUUAUGCACCAUUGGAGGAGCCUGCACUAGAUUAGUUUGUUGGUGGGGUAAUGGCCUACCAAGACUGUGAUCUAUAGCUGAUUUGAGAGGAUGAUCAGCCACAUUGGGACUGAGACACGGCCCAAACUCCUACGGGAGGCAGCAGUGGGGAAUCUUGCACAAUGGAGGAAACUCUGAUGCAGCGAUGCCGCGUGAGUGAAGAAGGCCUUUGGGUUGUAAAGCUCUUUCGUCGGGGAAGAAAAUGACUGUACCCGAAUAAGAAGGUCCGGCUAACUUCGUGCCAGCAGCCGCGGUAAUACGAAGGGACCUAGCGUAGUUCGGAUUUACUGGGCUUAAAGAGUUCGUAGGUGGUUGAAAAAGUUAGUGGUGAAAUCCCAGAGCUUAACUCUGGAACUGCCACUAAAACUUUUCAGCUAGAGUAUGAUAGAGGAAAGCA
rnacentral:rRNA from 1 species